rnacentral:rRNA from 1 species
GAUGAACGCUGACAGAAUGCUUAACACAUGCAAGUCAACUUGAAUUUGGGUUUUUAACUUAGGUUUGGGUGGCGGACGGGUGAGUAACGCGUAAAGAACUUGCCUCACAGCUAGGGACAACAUUUGGAAACGAAUGCUAAUACCUAAUAUUAUGAUAAUAGGGCAUCCUAUAAUUAUGAAAGCUAUAAGCGCUGUGAGAGAGCUUUGCGUCCCAUUAGCUAGUUGGAGAGGUAACGGCUCACCAAGGCGAUGAUGGGUAGCCGGCCUGAGAGGGUGAUCGGCCACAAGGGGACUGAGACACGGCCCUUACUCCUACGGGAGGCAGCAGUGGGGAAUAUUGGACAAUGGACCGAGAGUCUGAUCCAGCAAUUCUGUGUGCACGAUGAAGUUUUUCGGAAUGUAAAGUGCUUUCAGUUGGGAAGAAACAAAUGACGGUACCAACAGAAGAAGUGACGGCUAAAUCCGU